CGGCCAUAGAACUUCCCCUCAAAAUGUUUAGAGCACGUUUUCUUUUAAAAUCUAAUCAUGCUUGAAAUAUCACCAGUAAUGGAGAAUCCAUCAUGACCCUUGACCUCUGCUUGAACCAGAACAAGAGCAAUGAAAAGACAGAAGAUGACACACCUAAACCCUUCUGGACAAGAGUGAUACCAUCAAGGAAAUUUCCCUACCCUCAUCUGCAUUGAAGAUAAGACAAACAGACAUCUACAUUAACAUACAGAAUGGAGAACAGCACUUCCAAAGCAAAAACUACAUUGAACUGUGGGAUACAGAAAGCAGGAAAACACUGCCUGGUGGGAAAUUUCUGCUUCAGAUACCAGUAAACCUAUGCCUGCACACACCUAGGUCAAUAAUUAUCAAAUCAAUUUGAGUAAUAAAUGCUCUAUUGGUAACCAAAAUACUGAAACUGCCCAAUUGCAUUAUGAGCAUCCCCAUAGCCAGGAACAAUCAGUUCCUAUUGUUUAGCAGCCUAAACUGAACAACUCUGGAAUACAUUGUUGAACCAUCUGUUUACUCAUAAACAAAUCUAGUGUCCCCCUGUAUUGGAUCCACUCUCUGGUAAGAACCCUGCUGCGGCCAGGUGGAGCUGGGCAGGAUACUUGCUGGGUUGUCAGGUUGCCUUCAGUCUUGGAACCAGGGCCCGACUAACCCUGUGCAGCGUGCUAGUAAAUCUUUGCUUGUGGCUGGUCUUUGGCCACUGGGUCUGAGUUUUAUCCAGAUCUAACCUCAGCUCACACUGGGAACUAACCAUAGUGCUGAUUUCCCCAGUCAGGGUAUAGAUCCUACUGGGUCGAGCUCCUGAAGGGAACUGGCAGGCCCCAUCCUGCAGCUUCUUUUAUACCCCUCUGCUAGGUCCUGAUUGGCUGCUGCAGAGACAGCCAUUCUACAGUGUCUGGAGCAUCUCUUCUCCGCUCCUCCUGCUGGGAUGGGGGGAUGGCAAGCCUGCUAGCCUCCUGUAGGGGGCAAUGGGGCCUAGUGCAGCCUAUCACACCACCCUUGAACCAUUGUUUUGUAGGGAACAAUUCGUUCCCUACAAAAACCCCUGUCCGUGCUCAAGUAAAGUGUUCUGAUACCUGGAUUUAAAUUAUGUAUCAGUUCCACUAGGACAUCAUCUUCUCCUCACCUCUGCUCUGCUGUCUCCAGCACACUGGGCUCCUACGACCAUCACCCUCUGGGAACCCCAAUCAGUCCAUGGUUCAUGGAGUGGUGAGAUCUCUCUCCCUCUCUUUCUCAGUAUAGCUUCCUGACUCUGCCUUAUGUGAUCAGUUAUGGUUUGCGAGCCCUAACAUUUGUAAUCGGACUUAAGUUAGAUUUUAAUAUUGUAACUUUUUUGUUUGUUUGCCCUUGUAUGGUUACUACUUAGAAAUAAAUGACUUUCAUUAUUAAACUGGUUGCUUUUUUUAUUUUCCCUUCUUUC